AAAAUGGUUUGGCAGUGAGCGAUUCUUAUUAGGGGAAUAUGCAUAGUGAAGGAUGGUCCACCUAUUAGUUUACUCUUUUUAUGUUGGUGUAUGUCUGGUUUGAUAUUAUUGUUGAAUAAUUUAAGUUUGUGUAGUUUUAGUUAAGCUAAGUCUAUGUGCUGCUUAUGGGAGUUUUUGUGUGUUACAUUAAUAAGGGUGUUAUUGUGAGAUGAUGUGAUUUAGGACUUAAUAGUAAUGUUAAAUGAGUUUGUUGAUGUGAAGAGAGUUUAGCUCAGGUAC
rnacentral:rRNA from 1 species